UUCUUAGUUAUGUUUCUGUCUCCUUACUGGCUACUUCUUGACUUUGGAACUGCACAGAAGAAAGGUUAGGUCAUAAAUAUAGUUCUAUAUCCAUGGCAACAUACAUUUCUAUUUCAACACUUUGCAGGUAUUUUCAUUUAUAGCACUUACUUAGACUUACUUGGGGAUAAAAGGAGAUAUAAGGCUCAGUAAAUCGCCUGAGUAUAAAUCCAAUAAUCUCAGGAUUUCUAGUGGGCAGUAGAGAGGGAAGCAUCUAGAACCUGGAUAGACAUGAAUAUGGACCAUUAAUGAUUACAGAGUCGGAUGAUAGAUCAGAAAUUCAGUUAGGUCAGUUUCAGGUUAAUGAAUUCAUAUCAAGAAGUCAGGGAAAAAACUUCAAAAGUCCAGGUGAAUUGAUUUGAGGAACGGAGAAACAAAAGCGGCAAAUAACAAGAUCAUGUGUAAAAAUGCAAAUUAUUUUAAUAAAUCAAGUUAUUGUUGUA